rnacentral:rRNA from 1 species
UUGAGAGAAAUUCGCUAGAAAUAGUGGAGUGUCUGGCUUGCUAGACCUUGAAAACAGGUGCUGCACGGCUGUCGUCAGCUCGUGUCGUGAGAUGUUGGGUUAAGUCCCGCAACGAGCGCAACCCCCUUUCUUAGUUGCUAACAGGUCAUGCUGAGAACUCUAAGGAUACUGCCUCCGUAAGGAGGAGGAAGGUGGGGACGACGUCAAGUCAUCAUGGCCCUUACGCCUAGGGCUACACACGUGCUACAAUGGGGUGCACAAAGAGAAGCAAUACUGCGAAGUGGAGCCAAUCUUCAAAACACCUCUCAGUUCGGAUUGUAGGCUGCAACUCGCCUGCAUGAAGCUGGAAUCGCUAGUAAUCGCAAAUCAGCCAUGUUGCGGUGAAUACGUUCCCGGGUCUUGUACUCACCGCCCUCACAUCCAUGAUG